GCACUCUUACAGAACUCGAGCGUCCC
rnacentral:rRNA from 1 species